GGGCUGGCUUUAACUCAGCAGUUCCUUCGACAGAGCAAUUUCUGCCAUACCACCUUUUGAGGGUGGUUCCAGACGUGGGGGUUGCUUUCUGGCCCUUUU
rnacentral:vault_RNA from 1 species